rnacentral:SRP_RNA from 1 species
GCCGGGCGCGGUGGCUUACGCCUGUAAUCCCAGCCAUUUGGGAGGCCGAGGCAGGUGGAUCACCUGAGGUCAGGAGUUCGAGACCAGCCUGACCAACAUGGUGAAAUCCUGUCUCUA